UGUAGGAGUGAGCCUGCUCGCGAUAGCGGUGUGUCAGUCACUUUAAAUGUCACUGAUUAACCGCUAUCGCGAGCAGGCUCACUCCUACA
rnacentral:antisense_RNA from 1 species